AUUGAACGCUGGCGGCAUGCCUUACACAUGCAAGUCGAACGGCAGCACGGGAGCAAUCCUGGUGGCGAGUGGCGAACGGGUGAGUAAAGUAUCGGAACGUGCCCAGUCGUGGGGGAUAACGUAGCGAAGGUUACGCUAAUACCGCAUACGAUCUAUGGAUGAAAGCGGGGGAUCGCAAGACCUCGCGCGAUUGGAGCGGCCGAUAUCAGAUUAGGUAGUUGGUGGGGUAAAGGCUCACCAAGCCAACGAUCUGUAGCUGGUCUGAGAGGACGACCAGGCACCAUGGGACUGAGACACGGCCCAGACUCCUACGGGGGGCAGCAGUGGGGAAUUUUGGACAAUGGGUGAAAGCCUGAUCCAGCCAUGCCGCGUGCAGGAUGAAGGCCUUCGGGUUGUAAACUGCUUUUGUACGGAACGAAAAGGUUUGGCCUAAUAAGCUGAGCUCAUGACGGUACCGUAAGAAUAAGCACCGGCUAACUACGUGCCAGCAGCCGCCGCCG
rnacentral:rRNA from 1 species